rnacentral:rRNA from 1 species
GAUGAACGCUGGCGGCGUGCCUAAUACAUGCAAGUCGAGCGAACGGACGAGAAUCUUGCUUCUCUGAUGUUAGCGGCGGACGGGAGUGUAACACGUGUAUAACCCACCUAUAAUUCUGGUAUCACUUCGGGAAACGGGCUCUUAUACCGUAGGAUAUCUUGCUCCACAUGGGUCAAUAGUGAGAGACGGUGUUGGUGUCUCUUAUAGCGGCAUCCCCGCUUCAUGGGCUGGUUGGUAAGUUCACGGCCUACCAAGGCAACGAUGCGUAGCCGAACUGAGAGGGUGAUAGGCCACACUGGAGCUGAGCCGCGGACCAGACUCCUGAGGGAGGCAGCAGUAGGGAAUGUUACGCAAUGGGCGAAAGCCUGACGGAGCAACGCCGAGUGAGUGAUGAAGGUCUUCGGAUCGUAAAGACCUGUUAUUAGGGAAGAACAUAUGUGUAAGUAACUGUGGACAUCUUGACGGUACCUAAUCAGAAAGCCACGGCUAACUACGUG